UAAAAACCAAACCCAUGAAGAUCAUCAAGUGUUUGGGGCCAUCCUUUUGUACCCAGAGUGACUUGGUUUCUCUCAUUCUGCCCCAGGACAAAUGCAUAAGCCACCUAUUCAACUGAACAAAAAUGAAGCUGAGAGCUCCAAGCCUGAAGAGGGCACUGUCUCCUGCAGGGCCUCACCCACAGCAUGCUAUUAAAAACCCCACUCUGCGUCACAGACACCCUUUGGUAAGGGAAGAAGUUCCAUGAAGUUACCAGAAUCUCAAAGACACCCUUAAUGCAGGAAGGCUACAAGGACAAUAAGUGAGAGACAAUCUCAGUCAUCAUCCUAGGAAAAGGACAAAGACCAACUGGUAUGUAUUUAGAAAAAGAAUCCAGAAGCAGAGGAGACAGGAAGCAAGUUUUAUGAGAAGGACAUGCAGACAGGCAUUGGCUGUUCAAUUUGGAAGUUAAGAAGUCAGGACAUAGAGUAGGACACAAAUAUGACUGUCAGAUUUCUGAAGAACGGUGCAGCAGGGCUAUUGGUGCUCUGUCCACAUCCCCUACACUCAAGAUUCCCG
rnacentral:lncRNA from 1 species